UACUAAGGGGGCUAGCGUUGCUCGGAAUUACUGGGCGUAAAGCGCACGUAGGCGGGUUCUUAAGUCGGUGGUGAAAUCCUGGAGCUCAACUCCAGAACUGCCUUCGAAACUGGGAAUCUUGAGUCCGGGAGAGGUGAGUGGAACUGCGAGUGUAGAGGUGAAAUUCGUAGAUAUUCGCAAGAACACCAGUGGCGAAGGCGGCUCACUGGCCCGGUACUGACGCUGAGGUGCGAAAGCGUGGGGAGCAAACAGG
rnacentral:rRNA from 1 species